CUUUGAAACACUGGUAGGGAUUGUAUUUGGCUUAGAGAAACUAUACUUGGCUUUGAGUAAGUCAGAUUAUGGCACAGAAAAUUGAUUGAAUAUGUCUCUAGUUUUUGGGUUUUUUUUUUUAAUGUGUCUAGUUACAAAAUAUAAAUCUGGGUUGUAUCUUGUACUUGAGAAAUAAGUUAAACAUAACUAGUCUAUUUUUGCAGCAUUUCCUUAGGCAAGUACAUUGAUUUCCCCAUCAUUUUCUAAAUGUUGACUCUCUUUCAAUUCUUUAUAGUUGCAAUCAUGAGGUUGGUAGCUUUGGCAUUGCACUGCUUGCCUUUCUGGAAGGACUUGUGCUAUGUGUGUUGUCAUGGAAAUAAACAUUAUGAGAUGGAAAAGGUUUUCUUACAAGACAAAAGAAGAAGAAUCCUAUAGAGCCCUACCAGUCAAAAAUUAAGUACUCAUGUUGUUAUUUGUAUGUACUUCAGAAAGCUUUAAGUCCAUAGAUAUGCUUAAAUUUUUUUCCCACUUAUUACAGGGUUUUUUCUUCUUUUCCACUUCCAAAACAUAUAACUUUUUUUUUUUAAAAAAAUGUUUAUUUUUGAGAAAGAGAGAGUGAGAAUGAGCUGGGGAGGGGCAGAGAGAGGGAAGGAUAGAGGGUCUGAAGCAAGCUCUGCACUUACAGCAGCGAGCCAGAUGCGGGACUCGAACUCACGAACCGUGAAAUCAUGACCUGAGCCGAAGUCAGACGCUCAACUGACUGAGCCACCCAGGCGCCCCAAAAUAUGUAGCUUUUAAGAGCGUUUGUGAUGGUACUUCAAUGUAUUAACACUAUUGUAAGUAUUUAAUAAAUAACAUAAUUUCUUAUUCAGAAAAUCAUUUAGCUAUACAAUAUUGGCUAAUACUAUAAUCACUGUUUUCUGUAGGAAACUGUGGCCUUAUUUCAUAAAGCCAAUGAAAAUAAAAAGCUUUGUUGUGUUUUCUUUUACAGUAGUUAGUAUCGUCUAGAUGUGCUGAAAUUUUUCCUUUUGCUGUUUUCAUUAGUGCUUGAAGCUUGCUGGAAUACCAUCUCAGUGCUGUCUUUUUGUAUGUACACACAACUCCCUGUUUAUUCUUAUGUUCCCUGAUGUUGGCAAGAAAUUACUGGAUUUCUUUUUUUACUUUUAUUGUUAAAUGUGUCCAUGGAGGCAGACAUUCUAUAGAACUGAGGAAAGGAAAGGCAUUUAGUUGAUGGUGACAUACUCCAUACACUAGUAGUAUUCUAUCAUUUAAUAUUAGACAUUUGGAAUCUCUGAUUCUCCUUAUUGAACAAAUGUUAUCAGAUUAUAUGUAUCUAAGCCUUUUACUAGUGGAUUGCUUUUUUUCUUUUUGAAACAGUUUUAAUAUAUGUGGCAAAAAGCAAGGGCUUUUAACUUACGAUGAAAUUUAUCAAAAUUGGUGAUUUCUUUUUGAAAACAUGAAUUAUGUUUUGAAGAAGCAUAGUGCAAGUAAGCUGUAAAUAGAAAAGUUAGGAUCAUUUGAAGGUCUUUUAGGGACACAGUCAAUUUCUUUUGGUCAAAUGCAAAAGGGAAAAAGACACAAACGUACUUUUCAAAAUGAAUAUUUAGUUAAUUUUAGCUUCUGUUACAUCCUUUCAUGGGAAUACUCACCAUCUCCAUUCGGGCAAUUGGAACUCAGGAAUAUAAUAGUCAUGAAGGGAGCAAAAAAAACCUUGCUUAACAGAAAAAUUGUGCAUAUCAUUGAUUAGUAGCAAUAAUUAUUUUCUAUAAUACUUUCAGUUAAGUAUCUUUUCACUCAGAGUGUGCAAUAAGAUAAUGUCAUUAAAAUUUUAAAUGGGCAUCAUUUUACCAAUGAGGUAAGAGAGUCUGAAAGAAGUCAAAGGAAUUGUUCAGAGUCCCAUAGUGAUUUGGACCUAGUUAUUUUGACUAAAUAGUGUAUUUUCUUGUUAUCACAAGAUAGUAUCAAUGACUAUAUUUAAGGAAGACUAAUUCUCUAUGGGAUAGUGCAGAAAGGAGUAUUGUUUGCAUUGGGAGGAUAAACCAGGUGAUUAGCAACUUCUAAGGACUGUUUCAAGUAGCAUUUUCUUUGUUUCUAAACUUCAUUUUCAAAAUUUAUCUAAGAUUCUAGUUAAAUGACCCUUUAUCAUACCCUCCCUCUGUUGUGUGCUACAUUUUAGCAAUAAAGAAAAGCUUAUUUAUUCAUUAUGGACAGAGCUUUGGAGAGAGCUGAUGUAUUCUUUUUUUUUUUUUUCAAGGAAGACUCAGAUAUAUUUAUGAGAUCUGAUUAGAUCACAGAUUGAAUGAUGUGCAUCUCAGUUAUAAGUGGAUAUAAAUUCUAUCUUUUAUUUGAAGUCUAAAGAAGAUAGGGGUGAGAAAGGAAAUUACUGUUUCUACAACCAUCCCAAAUUUCAUUGUAGGCUUUACGUUACAGUAAUAAAUCGAGAUAACUAGAUUUGCUUAGCUAAGAUGGAUAGAUUUAUUGGUUCCAUUUUAAAAUUUUUAUAUGAAUAAGUAAACUGCUACCAGUUGCAUAUGUUUCAUCUCUUCUAAUAAUGUUUUACUGCCAUCUGCUCCCCUGCAUUUCGACAUCAUUAAGCUAAACAGUCCACUUGCCAUAAAGGCCUGACUGGAGCUGUCCAUUGUCAAAGCUGCUGUGUGAAGCAUGUAAAAUAUGCUUUGUCUUUUUAUAUAACGUGUAGAUUUUGGUUUAGAAUCGCGAUUCUCAGGAAAAAAUAAAAGUAACAACCAUUAACUGCCUUUUUCCCCCCAUAAACUGGAAUUUAUUUCUGUGUUGGAAGCUUUCCUGUGCUGACGCAAGAGCACAGUUGUGAAAGCUCUUCUUUCUACCCAUUUUUCCUUCAUCCUGAGAUUAAAAUAUUAAAUCUUUUCUAAGGGAAGACACCUGGACUUAUUCAUAUAUGAUUUUCAUUAAGAAUUAUUCCUCGGUUAAGCGUAGGACUUCGGCUCGGGUCAUGAUCUCACAGUUUGUGGGUUCGAGCCCCGCGUCGGGCUCUGUGCUAACAGCUCGGAGCCUGGAGCCUUCUUUGGAUUCUGUGUCUCCCUCGUUCUCUGCCCCUCCCCCACUCAUGCUGUCUGUCUGUCUCUCUCUCUUUCAAAAAUAAAUAAACAUUAAAAAAAAUUUUUAAGAAGAAUUAUUAUUCCUCAUUAAUUGAUGCAUGCAGUUUAAACCAGAGGUUGGCAAACUAUGACCUUGGUCACCUCUGGCCUACCACCUGUUUUUAUAAUAAAGUUUUAUUGGAGCACUGCCAGGCUCAUUUGUUUACAUUUGUUACAUGAUGUCUGUGGCUCCUUCCCUGCUGCAAUGGCAUAAUUGAGUAGCUGCCAAAUAAACCUUACAUCCCACAAAACCUAAAAUAUUUACUCUCUGGCCAGUUACAGAAAAAAAUUGCCAAACCUAGGGUUAAACCAUAGGAAUAAGAAAAAUUAUGCUUGAUGAUUCUGUACAAUAGAUGCAAACUUUUCUCAGAGUCGUGAGCACCCUUGACAACUCUAAUCCGAAGGCACUCUGUUGCCUGUUUGUGAACAUCACCUGAGAGAAGAUAAAACUCUUUGGGGCAAGCAUCUUAUUCUUGGGUGUAUCUUCCAUACCCAAAGAGUUCCUAGAUCUAAAACAUUGUGUGUGGUCUCUUAGUAGUUUUUGAAUGAGUUGAUACCUUAUUUUUUAAAACAGGUUAAGAUCUGGGGCGCCUGGGUGGCUCAGUCGGUUGGGCGUCCGACUUCAGCUCAGGUCACGAUCUCGCGAUCUCGCGGUCCAUGAGUUCGAGCCCCGCGUUGGGCUCUGGGCUGAUGGCUCAGAGCCUGGAGCCUGCUUCCGAUUCUGUGUCUCCCUCUCUCUGCUCCUCCCCCGUUCAUGCUCUGUCUCUCUGUCUCAAAAAUAAAUAAAUGUUAAAAAAAAAAAAUUAAAAAAAACAGGUAAGAUCUUAUGUCAGAGUGUAAUUGAUAUUUGUGAAGCAUUUCUUACACAUUCAAGAAAAUUAAGUAAACAUUUUACUUACACCAUCACAUUCAAGCCUGUCACAUUUUGAGGUAGUUGCUGUUUUACAGGUGAGGAAACUUAACACAUUUCUGUGUUUAUGGAGCUAGAAAUUAGCAGAACAAGGAGCCCGAGUAUAUCUUAACAUUAUGCCAGAUGUAUGGCUUCCUCCAGCAUAAAAUAGCUUUUAAAAGCUUUUAAAAGAUGUGAAAUUCAAACAUAACUUUGGAUAAUGAUAAUACAGUUUCACUUAUUUCAGAGAUUUAAUGGCUUUAAUUGAGAGAGCUGUCUUAGAGAAUUAGUAGUAGUAAAAGAAAUGUAAGAAGUAUCCCAAGUUUUCAAUUUUCCAGUAACUUGUAUUCAUCAUGAGAGACAUUGUUGAUAUUUGACAUGAGGAAUGCUCGUUAACUUUUAGUCCCCUUUCUGCUUCAGGUUUUGUUUUUGUUGUUGUUGUUGUUGUUGUUUGUUUUUUUGUGGGGUUUUUUGCCUACAUUAGAAGAAUUCUAUUUAUAUGAGCAACUCAAACCUGAGCUACCUUUCUCCUUUAUUUCUGACUGAGACUAGGCUACUUUCUCACUUGUAUAAAUAGGUGACAGUUGGUGGGAAAAUGGUAAAAGCCAAGCCUGUUUGGGUUUCAUGUUACUUUGGAAAUAAGAUAUGUCAAAACUCUGGGUAUAAUAUAAGUAAUUUUUAAAUAUAUGUCCUUUAUAGUUUUCUCAUUCAAAUAUAAGCAAAAUUUUAAAAAUUUAAUAUUUGAAAUAAAUUCUUAGCUUAGAUUCUGUAUGAGUUCACCUCAUGCAGAGGUGAUCCUCUUGAGUAUUUCUGAGGUUGUGAAUGAUACCUCAGAUUUGUUUUUUGUUUUUGUUUUUGUCUUUAAUAAUUUAUCUGAGUUUUUCUUUUCUGUUUCUUUUUAUUCUCCUCCCCCUCCCUCCCACUCCCCUGCCUCUUUUUUACUGUGAAACACAUUGACCACCCACAGUUAGAGCAGAUUUAGCUUCCCAUUGUAAAAUUAAAAAUUUUAACAGUGAUACUGAAAUUAUUUAGAAAAUUCUCUGUAUGACCGAUAAAUGAAAUGUUGAUUUUUAAUUGAAUGGUGGCAAACCAGAUAUUUUAAGAUCUCAUAUCUUUAUCUGUGAGGUACACACUGGGUUUCUUUUACUUGUCACUCUGAACAAAUGGAAGUUUUCUGUGUAAGGUCAGCUAGUUGGGAGAAAAAGGCAAGUUGAAUAUAUCCCAAAUUUUAAUGAUGUGUGAUGCAACAAAUUAAGAAAGAAGAGAACUGAACCUAAUCCAGUCCCCACACUCACUUUAAUUAAGACACUCUAGAUCCAGUUUAAUCUGGGUUCUUAGAGUUGAAAGGCCUGUUGCUAAUGGAAGAAACUAACCUCCUGAAGUUGCGGAAAUAUUUGAUACUUGGCCUUGGGCGCACCUGUUCCAAUUCUUUAUGGCAGCAUAAAGAAUACAUACCAGCAUUCUCCACUGCUUAGAGAAACGAUAAUAGUUUAAUCUGUCAACUUUGCUUUUAAUCAUUGAAUAAAAAAACCCUUGAUUCCGUUUAAUAAAAUUUGCACAGGCCUCUCUAAAAUGUACUUUGCUCUGAUCCUAGAUCUUGGCUUAAUUUUAAACCUUUUCUAUUUCUACUGGAUAUGAUUUCAUGCCUGGGUAAUGAAGAGUAGUAGUAGACUGUUGCUUAUACUUCCAACAUAAGGAGCUUGACAGAUGAAAUGCACGGAUUCUCUGCUUCUCUUGGCCGCCAUCUGUUUGAGAUGGAUGGGGGAGGGGCAGAGAAGAAAGCACUUGCUGUGCACGGUCAUAUGCAAGCGUGUUGCCAUCAUUGCUACCCGAUUUAGUAUGUGUAAAAUUUCUACCAUACCUUUGUGAACAAAUUCUCGGAGAUGUUGAAUUACAAUACUUUAUCUCCCCAGGAGUGUCAGAAUGUCACUUUGAUGUGGCCCAGUUAUUUAUAUGAGUACAGCAUUAGCCUCAGUGUUUAUAACUGGAAUACCCUUUGCAUUCGAGCCAGUUGUUUUUCACACCAUAAAACCUCACAUAUGACUUCUGUGUCUUUGGGGCUGUAAACAUUUGUCUUUUUUCUUUGGGGAGGGAACAUUAGUAUUCUUGAUAGCAGCCUUAUUUCAAACUCAAUAACAAUGAAAUAUUACAAGAUUUAAAAAAUAUUUUUUUCUGGUUAUUCCUAGAUUUAUUGCCAUGACAUUCUCUGCUGCUUUAUCUUAAUUCAAAUGUAGUAGGUGAAAUAUUCACACCAAUUUAGAGUUCGUACAACAAAAAAUGAAUUUAACAUUCAGUUGCUUCAAGCCUGUUUCUCUUUAGCAAAUGUACUAGAUCUAUAAUUUUAUUUUUCCUUUCUGAAGCAGUUAAAUAAAUCUUCUUCAAUGUUUCUCAGAACAUGAAGAAUCUAGCCUUUUAUUUCAAGAUUUUCUAGGUUUUAUUUCAAGAACUUUGCGGCCACUAAUUACAAUGGCUGAAAAGCAUGGGCAGCUAGGUUUAGGGAAAAUAAGUUAGAUCUCUGUUGGAAACUCAUUUUUUAUAGAAUACAUGAAUAGCUUAAAAGUGGUAAUCUAAGCUGUUAGGCAUACUGGGGCAAAUAAAAAACAAUGCUUUCGUACAUUAUUCCUAAAUUUAUUCUGGCAGGCUCAUUAAGGAAAUUAAAGUAGCAGAAGUUAAUCAUCUCAGUUAUCACUAUCCCCUCCUUCUAAAGUGCUCCAGAAAUGAGAACGUCCAGGUUUAGACCACAUUUGAGGAGAUCUGCCUUCAUAUUUUUCAUAGGUCAAGGCAGUAACUGGCAAAGAAUUUGACACUGUAGGCACAUAAUAAAUAUUUGAUGAAUGAAUCUAUAGGGUACAUAGGUUUUGGAGUCAGACAAAAAUGGUUUUAGAUCCCAAAUGGUCCACUUUCCUCAUUUGGCUUGUGUGAUGCAGUCUCCUGGUUUUUCGCCUACCUUCCGCUGUGUUCCCAGAGUACAUAUGUUAUUUGCCUUACCCUUAGGAGCUCUUCUGUUUUCACGCUCACUUUCCCUGAACAAUCUCAUUAACUCCCACAGCCUCAAAUAUCAUCAAUAUGCUAAUGACUCUUGAAUCAAUUCUUCUAGCUCAGAUCUUUUUCCUGAGUUCAUAUAUUCAAUAGACUGUCAGUACUGAGAUGAAACACAGGCACCUCCAGCUAAAAAAAAAAAAAAAAAGAAAGAAAGAAAAAAGAAAAAGCUAUGAGCUCCUUGAGGCCUAGGAUUAUUCAUGUUUUGUCCCCUCCUGUGUACCCAUGCAUAACACAGUGCCUGCCACGUUCUCAGUAUACACUUGACUAAAUGAAGAUCUAUAAUUACAUUCAUUAUCUUUCCAUCAUUCUAGCACUUAUCCCACUAUAACAAUUGACUGUUUACUGGUCUGUAACCUUCUUUAAACUUCAUGAGGGCAGAAAUUAUGUCUGUCUCACUCAUGUUGGUAAAGCCUAGCAAAUUACUUGGUACGUAGUAGUUGUUAAAAAAACAUUUCCCUCCUUUUAUUGCCCUAUAUGUCCUUAGGUAAGCCACUUAUCCUUUCUGACCUUUAUAUUCUUGGCCUGUUAAAAAGUAAUACCAAGGGGCGCCUGGGUGGCUCAGUCGGUUAAGUGUCCAAUUUUGGCUCAGGUCAUGAUCUCAGGGUUCAUGAGUUCGAGCCCCACAUCAGGCUCUGUGCUGACAGCUCGGAUCCUGGAGCCUGCUUUGGAUUCUGUGUCUCCCUCUCUCUCUGUCUUCCCCUGCUUGCACUCUGUCUCUGUCUCUCAAAAAUGAAUAAACGUUAAAAAAUGUUUUUUAAUGUAAUAAUAAUACCUCAUAAUGUAAAAAUGAAAUCAUUCAGUUUAGUAUGUGUAAAAUCUUUAAGUUUUUACUAUAGAAAGAAAAGUUCAGUACACACACACACACACACACAUAUAUAUAUGUAUAUAUAUGUAUAUAACUAGAGAUGUGGUUUCUUCUACAUGUAUAUUGAAAGGGAUGAGACAAUGAAAGGGAUUAUAGAUUAAAAGCAAUUUAAAAGACAAACCAAAUAAGCAGACCUUAUUUGGAUCCUGGUUAAUACUGUGUUGGGGUGUGCGUUGUAGGCAAAAUAAUGCUCCCCACCUCCCACCCCCAAAUGUCGAAAGAUGACCAUGUCCUUAAUACCCAGAACCUAUGAAUCUGUUAUAUUGCGUAUCAUAGGUGAACUAGGGAUGCAGAAGGGCUUACAGUCACUAUCAGCUGACCUUCAAAUAGGGCUACUAUCCUGCAUUAUCCUGGGGAGCCCAGUGCAAUCACAAGGGUCUUUAAAACUGGAAGAGGAAAGCAGAAGAGAGGGGGAUAAACUAAUGCAAGGCUUGUUGCUGGCUUUGAGGUGGCAGAAGAGGGCCAUGAAGCCCUGGAUUUGGGCAGCCUCUAGACGCUUGAAAAGGCAAAAAAAUGAAUUUUCUCUAGAACCUCCAGAAGGAAACAUCCCUGACAACACUUUUUUUUUUUUAAUGUUUAUUUAUUUUUGAGAGACAGAGACAGAGAGUGGAUGUGUGGGGGCAGAGAGAGAAGGAGACACAGAAUCUGAAGGAGGCUCCAGGUUCUGAGCUGUCAGCACAGAGCCUGACGCAGGGCUUAAACUCACAGACCGCAGGAUCGUGACCUGAGCCGAAGUCAGGUGCUCAACCGACUGAGCCACCCAGGCGCCCCUGGAAACAGCCCUAACAACACUUUGAUUUGCUCAGUAACAUCCAUGUGGGAAAACUAUAAAGCAAUAUACUUGUGUUGUUUUUUAGCCAACAAGCUGUUAUAUAUAAUAAGCAAGAGACAACUAAUACAGGGAUUAACAGGAGAAAUUAAAAAUUGGUUAUUUGAUGAUAAAAUUUUUAUUUUAGGUGUGAUAAUUGAAUUAUGGUUAGGUUUUUAAAAAGAGUGUUCUUUUAGGGAUGAUAUUGAAAUAUUAUCAAUGACGUGAUAGAUGUUGCAUUUGCUUCAGAAUGGUUCAGAAAUGGCAGGGGAAUGAAUGGCAUAUAAAUGAAAUGUAUCAGUUACAGACUGAUAAAUUGUUAACGUUUGGUUCUUUUUCUUUAUUAAAUUUUACUGUUUUUUAAAGUAAUUGUUUCCUUAGCAUCCUCUAAAGAUGAUUAAUGCUAUUUUUUUUCUAAUUUCAGAAAUCAUUGUGAGCUCAUGGGGUUAAACAUAUUUGAAGUAUUGUAGUCCAUGGUUAUUAUCUUUAUUAAGGCUCAAACUGUCUCAUCUACUUCUUUGAAGUCCCUUUGAUACCACUCUGGUAGUCUUUGAUAGCUUCCUUCCUUGCUAAUAUGAGAAGAUAUUCUAGACUUCCCUUGUUUAUUUUCUGCCCCAAUUCUGUAAUUAGCAGUUUUUUUUUUUAAGGAGUCUGGUUCCUUUUAGCGGGAAGAUGAUAAUUUUGGUUACUGGAGUCAUUGAUUCUCUAAACAAAGAUAUAUUAAGCAAUAUGCCAGGGACUGUUCUAGAUGCUAGAGGUGUUUCAAUGAAUAAAAUAGUGUCCCUGGCCUUAAGGUCUGAAGAGACAGAAAAUAAGAAAACAAUAAAAAGAAUAUAAAAUAUGUUAAAUGGGGAUAAACACUAUGGAGAAAGAUAAACCAGUUAGUGAGUAUAGGGAAUGCUGGAUUGUGGGUAGCAGGUUGCCCCUUCAUAUAGGAUAGUGAGAGAGAGCCACAUUGAUAAAAUGGCCUUUGAGUAGAAAACCGGCAGGAAGUGAGGAGCAAGUCAUGCAAACAGCUGGAAAAUAUUUCCAGAAGGAGAGAAGAGAAAGUACAAAGGCCCUGAAUCAGAGAAGAAUGCUGGCCAUUUAGAGAAACCAUAAGGAAGCCAGCGUGCCUUGUACGUAAUGGGCAAAGGGAGAGUGGCAAUUCAGAGAGGGAGCAGGAAUCUGAUUCUGUAUGACCAUUGAUUAGAAGGGAGCUCAAAUUGGAGAGUUUUGAGCAAAGGAGUAGCAUGGUCUGGCUUAGUUUUUUUCUGGCCUCUGUAUUGUUAUCAAGAGUCGAAGCUACGUCUCCAUAACCAGUGACUACAGUUAAGCCAAGCAAGAGAUGUUGGUGGCUUGGACCAAGGAUAUACUAUGGAGGUGGUAAGAAAUCAUCAGGUUAUGUUUUUCUCAUACUUUGAUGAGCAGUUCAUCUCCUAACACCAAACUUGCUCUUCUAAUGAAUGAUAUUUUCAGCAAUUCAAAUCACAACAUCUAGUAAGAGUAACCUACCUUAGAAGACAUUAAAUACCUCUGUUGUUUAUUUUUUGAGAUUUUUUGAGUUUUAUUUAUUUUUUUUUUGAGAUAUCAUCCCCCUAGCCCCCACUGACUUAUGUUAAGUUUCCAAGUAAGGUUUGACAUAAUACAGUAUUUUUUCACCUAUCGCAUGUCAGUAAUAAGAAUAUUUUACUAUUAGUUGAAUAAUUUGACUUGAACCAAAAGAGUCAACUGAUGAGUUUCAUUCCUAUUUGAGUACAGUCUGGCCAGGUGUUUAAUGUAUACAUUAUAAUCUUCACUACUAUUUUUUAAAAAUGGAUUGGUGUAGGGACCCCUGGGUGGCUCAGCUCAGUUGAGCGUCGGACUUCGGCUCAGGUCAUGAUCUCGCAGUCCAUGGGUUAGAGCUCCACAUAGGGCUCGAUGUUGUCAGUGCAGAGCCUGCUUCAGAUCCUGUGUCCCCUUCUUGUCUCUGUACCUCCCCCACUUGUGCCCUCUGUCUCAAACGUAAAAAAAUAAAACAUUAAAAAAUGUAUUGGUUUAGAGUUAACAGCCUUUUUUGAGCAGGAG